UAUAAAAGUAUUAUCAAUAGAUAGCUUGGAGGCAUGUUUACAUGCAUUACAGGCUAUCUAUUAGAUAAUCUGAGCUGCAUGAACAAGAAGGGCGAAAGCCCGGAUUGUGAAUGUGGCAGCAGAUGCGGGAGUGCAAAGCACGGAGCAUCUGGAUUUUAUA
rnacentral:sRNA from 19 species